UACGGAGGGGGCUAGCGUUGUUCGGAAUUACUGGGCGUAAAGCGCGCGUAGGCGGACCUGCAAGUCGGGGGUGAAAGCCCGAGGCUCAACCUCGGAACUGCCUUCGAUACUGCGGGUCUCGAGUCCGGGAGAGGUGAGUGGAAUUCCUAGUGUAGAGGUGAAAUUCGUAGAUAUUAGGAAGAACACCAGUGGCGGAAGGCGGCUCACUGGCCCGAUACUGACGCUGAGGCACGAAAGCGUGGGGAGCAAACAGG
rnacentral:rRNA from 1 species